UUUCACGGGAAUCCUACAUAUCCUCCGCACCUUUUCCGGAGAAGGUACCGAAUGCGCCGAUCCCUCUUUGUGAAACUUGUUGAAGCUUGCGAGACAAAUUGCCGGUAUUUUACUCAAAGAAGGAAUGCCGCGGGCUUAAAGGGAUUUAGUGCAUAUCGAAAAAUCUCCGCAGCUAUGCGGGUGAUUGCAUAUGGCGUUCCGGCUGACUAUGCCGAUGAGUAUCUUAGCAUCGGUGAAGAUAACACAAUUGAGUCUGUGCGUAGAUUUGCGAAAGUGAUCGUCCGUAUCUGGCACCGAAUGAAGAUGACACAAAGAAAUUGA
rnacentral:rRNA from 1 species